UACAGGGGUCCCGAGCGUUGUUCGGAUUUAUUGGGCGUAAAGGGCGCGUAGGCGGGGAGGUAAGUCGGGUGUGAAAUCCCUCGGCCCAACCGAGGAACUGCGCCCGAGACUGCUUCUCUUGAGUCCCGGAGAGGAAGGUGGAAUUCCCGGUGUAGCGGUGAAAUGUGUAGAGAUCGGGAGGAACACCGGUGGCGAAGGCGGCGACCUGGGUCGACACUGACGCUGAGGCGCGAAAGCGUGGGGAGCAAACAGG
rnacentral:rRNA from 1 species